CACUACUGUCCACGCAAAAACGCAGCCAUGUCCGAGCGAAUGGAGCAAAAUAAAACAGCAUUCAAUCAAAUAAAGAGGAGAGAAAAAGAAAAAAAGGGACAUCGUUAGACAACGUGUUUUAUUCCACUAGAACCUUGAAAUUGCAACAGAAAAAGAAAAACAAACAAACAGACGCUCACGAAUGUGUACGCAGUGCUGCUGUGCACACAUACAAAGGCCAUUCAGAUUCAACCUUGCGGCACACCGGCACAGACGUACUUGUAGCUACAGGUACAUUUUUUAAUAUCAAAUAGGGAAGGAGAGGGGACGGCAAAUGUUUAGCAUUAACCAGAUAACUCCUCCUUUUUUUUCCCCCUUUUUUAUUUCUCAUGAUGUAUAACGUCAGUGGAAGUAGCAGUACUGCCUUCAUGUGCAUGAAAACGUGUGUGCCCUUUUCGUUUAUCUUGUGUAACGUUUAAACGACACGGCUGUCCUUAAAGUACGUCGUGCUACACGCGACGCCAUUGUUUUUCCCUUGAACGAUUUAUUCCCAUUUGACCUUUUUUUUUUCUUUUUCUUCUUCUUCUUCUUUUCAUGAUGCUAUUAACUAAUGCUGCCUCUUGUCUUCAGUUCUUUGGGUAUACUUUUACAUGAACUUUUAUCCAUUCCAUUUCGUCUUACGUUAAUCGUCUCCUAAUUAAAAAAAGACGCAUAUCCGGACCGGACGUGGCAUUCAUCUGCGCUGAGUGGGUCCUAUUUUGUGUGUGUGUGUGUGUGUGUGUUGUAUGUUCUAUCUGUUUCUCUUAUUUUAUUUCGGUUUCCUUCCCCCUCUUGUAUCCAAUAUUGAGUGGCCUGGCCCGCCGUGCGCUGUGGACGCAGUUGUAACUGGUAUAAUCUAACGAUACGGUCCUCUUAGGAAACGAAAGGGGGCCCGACAAGCAGCCAACCAAUUUGCGGCCAAAAAUCGAAAGGACAUAAGAAGAAAGAGACAAGAUAGAAACAAUGUACUGUAUAGCUUUUUAUACUGUACAUCCACGGUUGCAGAUUAUUAAAUAGCCGAAAAAGAAAGGCACAGUAGUCGUAAUAGAUUAGGACGUACAGUAAAAAAGCAAAAACAAAAAAAAAACAAGCCAACGGGGUGGUCGGGUCACGGGCUGGUGAACGCCACGUUCCGGCCAAAUCUUUUUAGCCCGAAGAAUGGAUGGGAAAAAAACAAGAGAGAGAGAGACAUUCACGACAAAAAAGUGAAGAGAAAAACACACCGAAGAAGAGUCAUAAAACACACAAAAGACAAAAAACAUUUGGAGGAAAAACGAAGAGCUUGCUUAACAAGACACACACAUCCUUGAGUUGGUGAUGGAGAGAACAAAGAGCUACGAGAUGGAUGGGUCAUCGCUGUUUUAUUGGUGAACGGGAAAAAGGACGCGUACGAUGCGCGUGCAACCGCGGAACGAGAACAACUCCUUGCUCGUCAUCCGCACUCAUUUUAGUUAUUAUAUCGUUAUUGCAAAAUGUUUGCAUUUGGAAUUUUUUUUGUUUGUUUUUUUUUUACCGCUGAACAUAAACUUGUUCGUUGACGACCCCA